CAAAUAUUGACUCAAUAAAUCCUUCAAGAACUUGAAAAAAUCUGAAUCUGUGAUUGAGCACUUUCUUGAAAAUCCGCAGCCGCUACAACCUCUGCCACAAUCUCUGUCCUUCGGGUGAGCACUUUGUGCGCACUAGGUAAACCCCCCACAGUGUAAUAGCCUACAAACCACACAGGUAAUAUAAACCGCACUAGGCAAGCCUUGUGCAAGAGGCUCAAGCCCAAAAGGCAUUGAGGGGGAUUCGUUCCCUAGUGACUCGGGUGGAUCACUGCCCUCCAAACCAACUGAGUUAUCCUGAAGGACUAUUUUUUCAGAUUUGUGAAUGCCGAUACUAAUCCAGCUAUUUCAAAAGGUUUACAUGAUAGCUUGACCCAUGAAGUGACAACCCCUCAGAUCAUGUUGCUUCAUCGCUUUAAUUUUUUUCUGAUAUCCAACUUGCACCUCAAUUUUUCCACCAAGUACUUGCAUUCUCUCAUCAAGGCUUUGGUUGAUUGAAAGAAAUCACCUAGUGUAUUAUAGAAAACAAGCAGGAUUUCUAGCUUAAUACUUCUUGAUGAGUUUUCAAGUCAAACUAUCUAGCAUGGAGCUUUUUUUUUUUUUUUUUUAAGAAGGUAACAUUUGUGUAUAUUCUCUAAAGCAAUACAUAGGUUGUACUGAAACUUUUUAAAAUUUUGAGAACAAAAAACUAAUUUCUAUUUUAUUUUCGAUUCACUAUCCUAAAAUUUGAAUUUUAUGUAUUCGAAAUGAUAGAACAAUGAAAUCAACAUCCACUUAAAUACCAAUUCAAGAAAAACAUAUAUUAUAAAUUAUGGCAAACAAUGUCAUUUAUUAUGGAUUCAUUUACAAUAUUAAUUAACGAUAUUACAUUAAUUAAUAUUAUAACUAUUUUUUCUAAGCUCUUUUGCAAUAAUCACCAAAACAAUCCUUCAUGCAGCCUUUCCAUUGUUUGCCAUCUGUGCAAAACAAAUAACAAAAUACACAAAAUAAAUAUGUUAGUGAAAUAGGAGAAAAAAAAAUUACAAUAAGAAAGGAAAAAUACAAUUAACCAAGGUGAAUAUGAUAACAUAUGACUUACGACAAGUUGAAUAGAUGAAAAUAAUUUAUUUAUAUACAGAAAGAUUUAAAAUUUAAAGUUUAUGAGUUUUUAUAACAAUCUUAAUUUUAAUGGUUGAUUUACACAAUUUCCCAAUUUUAGGUCAAUAUUUAGAUUUUGACCAAUUUUUAAAAAAAAUUGUAAAAAUAUAUUGAAAAAUCACCAUAAGAAAAUUCAGAUCUAAUAUUUUGUUCAUAUAUAUUCGAUCAUGCACACACAAAAAAAAAAAUUAAACUUGUCGAUAUUGUAAUAAUAUAACUUACGAAUUCAAAAUCGUGAUCUACCAUCUGUCAUAAAAUUUUCAAUUUGCUCAAAAGAAAUUUUUAAAUUAAUGUCUUGACAGUCAAAAAAUUAAAUUAUAAGAAAAAUGAAAAAAGAAUUACUCUAUUUACAAAUAACUGAUAUAAACUCCACCCAUCUAA
rnacentral:lncRNA from 1 species